AUUGAACGCUGGCGGCAGGCCUAACACAUGCAAGUCGAACGAGUGGCGGACGGGUGAGUAAUGUCUGGGAAACUGCCUGAUGGAGGGGGAUAACUACUGGAAACGGUAGCUAAUACCGCAUACCAUCGGAUGUGCCCAGAUGGGUUUAGCUAGUAGGUGGGGUAACGGCUCACCAAGGCGUCGAUCCCUAGCUGGCCUGAGAGGAUGAACAGCCACACUGGAACUGAGACACGGUCCAGACUCCUACGGGAGGCAGCAGUGGGGAAUAUUGCACAAUGGGCGAAAGCCUGAUGCAGCCAUGCCGCGUGUAUGAAGAAGGCCUUCGGGUUGUAAAGUACUUUUAGCGGGGAGGCGGUACCCGCAGAAGAAGCACCGGCUAACUCCGUGCCAGCAGCCGCAGUAAUAC
rnacentral:rRNA from 1 species